CUGUGGAUGAGUAAUUUUUAUUUGAUCCAGCGGAGAACUAAACUUGCUGGUACAAACCAAGUUGGUUCUUCACUUGAAAGGAAUUCUUCACUCGAAGGGAACUACAAUUUUGAGAGACAUCAGUUCUGGUAGCUGUUACAGCUUGUUCAGCUGACUUGAACACCGUACUGUUGUGAAGGGAAGGGCAAUCCUUCAUAGGAAUGAAAUUACAAUUGAGUUUUUCACACAGUACCAGAUUUGGCGUUGCAUGUGGGCUGAGGAAAGUUUC